GCUGCGCAAAUAACUCAAUUAGUCUUGUGCAGACGCCCGCCCGUGGCGCUUAUCAACUGGCAGCACGUUACGCGAGUGUCGAGUGUUGUGUUGUGUGGGGGAGUGCUAAGGGGGUGGGAGUGAAGUGCAUUUCGCUUGGCGUUAACUUCGUUUCAUUUGCUGCUGCUUCUUCGGUAAAAGUUAUUUGGAGCAAAGCGCGUUGAUGAAGAAGUCCAUAAAGGUGCGAAGCAAAGCCCGGCGGCUUGGACCUGCAGCUGCUCACACUUUUUGCCUGCCCUCUCUGCUCCAAUCUCGUUCGUUCGCUCUCGCUCUGCUUGAGUGCAUGGCAACGGCAAGAAGCAACAACAAAGAGCAAACUUGAUGCUAGAGGGCGCCAUAGCAAAUGGCAAAUAAAUAAAAGCAGCCAGCAACAACAACAACAAGGACAGAGACCUGCUGCUGCUGCUGCUUCUGCUGCGCUGCUACUGCCAAGCACUUUCAAUAACCUUUCAAAAUUCUGGUUCAAAGGAAAGCGAUUCAAUCAAAAUUAUGCAUUUCAUUCACAGAGUAAAUCAGGCGAAAGCAGUGUGCAGCUGCUUUUGCUGCUUGCUGCUGUUGCACACACAACAAUGUCCAGGCACUUGCCAGCAAAAUGCAACAACGAAAAAACAGCAAGCAAGGAAGGAAGAGCGGGAGAAAAGGAAAGCCACACACACAACGACAACAAUACUUGUUACUCAUUCAGAGAGAAGAGAGAAGAAAGAAGUAGCAAUUGAAAGAGAAAGAGAAAGAAAGAAAGAGACUUGAAGGAAAGGAGAAAGUACUAUGGAUAGCGUAAAGGAAACUGAUAAAAAGGAAAUAAUAUGGAAUAGAAUGCAGUGAUAACGUAAACAACCGCAAUUGCUUUUGAAUCCAGUGAAAAUUUAACUUUCAUCUCGUUACUGACGUUUUUGUCGCCUGUCUGCCUGGCAGGCAUUGCAUUGCGUACAACAAAUAUUUUUCAACAACUUCUCAAUGGCAGCAAAUGCGCACAGGAGAGAAAGAGGCAAAGAAGAGAGGAGAAGAGAAAGAGAUUGGGAGAAGGAAGAGUCAUCUAAAGAUGCUGAUGGCGAUGAGGAUAGACGGACGAAGGAGAAAGGCGAAAGGCGAAGACGAGACUGCAGACUGAGUUGCAUUGCUUGCGGCGUGGCAGUUUCUGUUGCUGUUGCUGUUGCUGUUGCCAGUCGCUGGUGUCGCUACUUGCUUUACGUGUCGGUGGCAUGCAACAAAAUUGAGGUGCAGCAACACGAGGAAUCACGGCAAAAAGACACAGAAAAGAUGCAGAAGUUGAUGGAGCGGCUGCUUGGGGUGGCUUCAAGUUUGUUUAGCAAAUUCUGUAAAUGUUAUGCGGCAGAAGAAGCAGCAACAACAAUGUUGAUGGGGAAAUCGCAGUUGCAAAUUAAGAGAAAAGCGGCUGAGUAAAUCACAGUAACUGCAUUUUGUUUGGCUGCUAGUUUGUUGCUUAACUCGUUGCGGUUGCGGUUGGCCUUGAUUUAUUUGGCCCACGCGCCAAACGCAUGUUAACAAGAACCAGCAACAGCAACUGUUGUCACAUGUCGUUUUCUAUUUUUUGUAACUUUCAGGUGAACUCAAUAAUAUGGAUGAAUCCAAUAAAAUGGAUAAUGACAUUUCGAAGAGCAAUUUGGAUAACUUUUACCAACAGGUAUCCAGCAAAGUUCAUCUUUACAAACUCAAAGCAAUAAGUCCUUUAAAAAAGCCCAAAAAUAUGGCUGGGAUAGAAAUUUCGCUAAUUAAUAUCCUAAUUUUAAGCAAUUUUCUGUACACAAAAUUUCCUUGUAACUUUAUUGUUUGCAAUAUAUUCUUUU